GUGCUCGCUUUAGCAGUACCUACACUCAAAUUGGAAUGAGGCAGAAAAGAUUAGCAUGGCCCCUGUGCAAGGAAAACACCCGAAUUCUUGAAGCCUGAGGACAUAGA